rnacentral:misc_RNA from 1 species
UACGGAGGGUGCAAGCGUUAAUCGGAUUUAUUGGGCGUAAAGGGCGCGUAGGCGGAUGGAAAAGUCAGAUGUGAAAUUUCAUGGCUCAACCAUGGAGCUGCAUUUGAAACUUUCGGUCUAGAGGAUAGAGUGGGGAAAGCGGAAUUCCACAUGUAGCGGUGAAAUGCGUAGAUAUGUGGAGGAACACCGGUGGCGAAGGCGGCUUUCUAACCUAUACCUGACGCUGAGGCGCGAAAGCGUGGGGAUCAAACAGG